rnacentral:rRNA from 1 species
UACAGAGGUCUCAAGCGUUGUUCGGAUUCAUUGGGCGUAAAGGGUGCGUAGGCGGCGCGGUAAGUCGGGUGUGAAAUCUCGGAGCUUAACUCCGAAACUGCAUUCGAUACUGCCGUGCUUGAGGACUGGAGAGGAGACUGGAAUUUACGGUGUAGCGGUGAAAUGCGUAGAUAUCGUAAGGAAGACCAGUGGCGAAGGCGGGUCUCUGGACAGCUCCUGACGCUGAGGCACGAAGGUCAGGGGAGCAAACGGG